AGCUCCAAUAGCGUAUAUUAAAGUUGUUGCGGUUAAAACGCUCGUAGUUGGGUUUCUGUCAGGAACAACCGGUCUGUCCUGAGUGUCAAGUUACUGGCUUGCCGCCUGGCAUCUUCUUGGGGAACGGGUGCGCCCUUCACUGUGCGACCCGGAAACCUUGACGUUUACUUUGAGGAAAUGAGAGUGCUUCAAGCGGGUGUUCGCCACGAAUAUGUUAGCAUGGAAUAAUAGUGCUGGACCUCGAAUCACAGCUGUUGGUUGCUGGAAUUGGGGU
rnacentral:rRNA from 1 species